rnacentral:sRNA from 1 species
UCGGCGGCUGCUCUGCCCGGAGGCCCGCCUGUGCCUUGGUGUUUGAGGGGUUCGUUGGUGAGUGGGAGGCUCCUCCAGGCUUGAAGCUGAGCAGCGCUCGCCGAGGCCGGCGCCUUCGAGCCGGUAGCUGCGGGCUUCGGUUCCCGCUGCACUCCGGCUUCGUCCAUUUCUGAUCGCCCAGGACCACACCGCAGCGUAACUGCAGGCCUCUCAGCGAAAAAGGGGGAAAGCAAAGACCCGGGUCUGCAUCCUCUUCCUCGGCUUCCGCCCCUUUCCGGCGGAGUGGAGAUCCUAUUCAGAGGGGCCGGUCUCUCUAAAUAUGCCCCAGGUGGAAAUAUUCUGGCUGUCUGGCAACUGCAGAUGAGGAUUUCCUGUUGGGGGCUAUAAGCAGGGUCUCCGUAGUACAAAGAGAGAGGAGCUGUAGUCGUCAAAUACUCUAGAACGAUUCAGUCUAAAAUCUCCCUCCUCCUUCAUUCUCCCCAAAUAAAAACAAACAAAAUCUCU